UGCUAGGAUGUUGAAUGCAUCAAUGAGUACACCAAACGUCGUUUUCUUUGCAGGUGAAUGGCAGUGGCAAGCGCUAACGAACCAGUGAGAGAAAGAACCCGGGCAGGAACUGAAGUUUGAACUUUCUAUGCUUCUUUCAGUAUUUUGCUAAUCGUCUUAAUCGUGUUUGUAUGAAGAGAUAUAAGAGGGUACAAGUCUAGUAGUACAAGUAUUUGCAGUCUGAAAUGCUAAAAGUGUCUAGUGGACAUGUAUAUCAUUAAAAAAGUCAAAUUAUUUUGAAGUUUUUAUGAUUUUAUUGUUCAUCCCUGGAGCCAAAACGCCACCCUUGAUUGCGGAUUGCUGCAAGAACAUCCUUACUUCGUGUUUUUUUCCUGA
rnacentral:lncRNA from 1 species